GAUGAACGCUGACAGAAUGCUUAACACAUGCAAGUCGACUCGAGUCUUCGGACUUGGGUGGCGGACGGGUGAGUAACGCGUAAAGAACUUGCCUCAUAGUCUGGGACAACAUUUGGAAACGGAUGCUAAUACCGGAUAUUAUGCUUUCUUCGCAUGGAGGAAGUAUGAAAGCUAUAUGCGCUAUGAGAGAGCUUUGCGUCCCAUUAGCUAGUUGGUGAGGUAACGGCCCACCAAGGCGAUGAUGGGUAGCCGGCCUGAGAGGGUGAACGGCCACAAGGGGACUGAGACACGGCCCUUACUCCUACGGGAGGCAGCAGUGGGGAAUAUUGGACAAUGGACCAAAAGUCUGAUCCAGCAAUUCUGUGUGCACGAUGACGUUUUUCGGAAUGUAAAGUGCUUUCAGUCGGGAAGAAGCA
rnacentral:rRNA from 1 species